rnacentral:rRNA from 1 species
GGAGGUAGUGACAAUAAAUCACAAUGCGGGACUAUUUAGUUUUGCAAUUGAAUUGAGAACAAUGUACAAGAGUUAUCGAUAAACAAUUGGAGGGCAAGUCUGGUGCCAGCAGCCGCGGUAAUUCCAGCUCCAAUAGCGUAUAUUAACGUUGUUGCAGUUAAAAAGCUCGUAGUUGAAGUGUGGGAUAAUGUAUAUUGGAUCUUUUUGUGAAGGUAUAUGUUGUCCCCCCUCCAAUUUCGGUCUGUGGGUAUUCAUUUACUUGCAGUUCGUGUUGGUCAUUUACUGUGAGAAAAUUAGAGUGUUCAAAGCAGGCAUUUGCUUGAAUAUAUUAGCAUGGAAUAAUAUUAAAAGGCUUGUAUGGUCGAUUUAAUUGGUUUGUUCAUAUAAGCAAGAUUAAUAGGGACAGUUGGGGGUAUUCAUAUUCAAUAGUUAGAGGUGAAAUUCUCGGAUUUAUGGAAGAUGAACAAGUGCG